CACGUAGGGGGCAAGCGUUUGUCCGGAUUUAUUGGGCGUAAAGAGCUCGUAGGUGGUUCGGUAAGUCGGGUGUUAAACCCCCAGGCUCAACCUGGGGACGCCACUCGAUACUGCUGUGACUAGAGUCCGGUAGGGGAGCGUGGAAUUCCUGGUGUAGCGGUGAAAUGCGCAGAUAUCAGGAGGAACACCAGCGGCGAAGGCGGCGCUCUGGGCCGGUACUGACACUGAGGAGCGAAAGCGUGGGUAGCAAACAGG
rnacentral:rRNA from 1 species